AAACGACUCUCGGCAACGGAUAUCUCGGCUCUCGCAUCGAUGAAGAACGUAGCGAAGUACGAUACUUGGUGUGAAUUGCAGAAUCCCGUGAAUCAUCGAGUCUUUGAACGCAAGUUGCGCCCGAAGCCUUUUGGCCGAGGGCACGUCUGCCUGGGUGUCACGC
rnacentral:rRNA from 1 species